rnacentral:rRNA from 1 species
AUUGAACGCUGGCGGCAGGCCUAACACAUGCAAGUCGAGCGGAUGAAGGGAGCUUGCUCCUGGAUUCAGCGGCGGACGGGUGAGUAAUGCCUAGGAAUCUGCCUGGUAGUGGGGGAUAACGUCCGGAAACGGGCGCUAAUACCGCAUACGUCCUGAGGGAGAAAGUGGGGGAUCUUCGGACCUCACGCUCUCAGAUGAGCCUAGGUCGGAUUAGCUAGUUGGUGGGGGAAAGGCCUACCAAGGCGACGAUCCGUAACUGGUCUGAGAGGAUGAUCAGUCACACUGUAACUGAGACGCGGUCCAGACUCCUACGGGAGGCAGCCGUGGGGAAUAUUGGGCAAUGGGCGAAAGCCUGAUCCAGCCAUGCCGCGUGUGUGAAGAAGGUCUUCGGAUUGUAAAGCACUUUAAGGUGGGAGGAAGGGCAGUAAGUUAAUACCUUGCUGUUUUGACGUUACCAACAGAAUAAGCUCCGGCUAACUUCGUG